AGGGACGGAGAAGGCUAGGCCAGCUUGGCGUUGGUUGUCCAAGUUUAAGGUGGUAGGCUGAAAUCUUAGGUAAAUCCGGGGUUUCAAGGCCGAGAGCUGAUGACGAGUCGUCUUUUAGAUGACGAAGUGGUUGAUGCCAUGCUUCCAAGGGACGGAGAAGGCUAGGCCAGCUUGGCGUUGGUUGUCCAAGUUUAAGGUGGUAGGCUGAAAUCUUAGGUAAAUCCGGGGUUUCAAGGCCGAGAGCUG
rnacentral:rRNA from 1 species